ensembl:lncRNA
AGAAUACAACCUAGCUCCUACUUGAGAGAACCAUGGAGCAGAUUUCAAUGUUCCUCUUCAUACAUCUUGAAGCCCCAGUGAGGGUUUCUUUACCUCCUCCUCUGGAGAACAGCAUAACUGCAGCUUGAAGAGGACCAUGGUUGGGAUGUUUCCAAGGUUGGUUUCUGAAUCAGGUGGACCUAUAAAUUAUACCUCGGCCUGAGCUAGGCUUUCAUCACAGCACAGAAGUCUUGAUCCACAGGGCCCGCCAGCCAUCGUACUCUCGGGGUUAGGAAGGGCAGCCACGUCGCCGACUCUCAUGCUUAAGUAACCAUUUCCAAAGAUCUUUUGGUACAUUUCCAAACUUCUGUCCAUCCGGAGGCCAUCAUCCAUUGUUUCAGGCAUCUAUUGCUCUUUCCCAUCGUAGACCUCGUUUGUCGUGACGAUCUGAGCCGGUUGGCAUCAAUCAGUCAGUGUCUGUACCACUCACUUUGUUUCCGUGGUGAUUUGGUCGGGCUGAACUCAUCCAGAAACGUAGCUGAAAAGUCAAAACAUAUAAUGGGCCUCCACCUAAAGCAACAGUUUCUUGAGGGGACCAGAACCCUGACCAGGCUCACACAAACCAUUGGCCAGGUUAAAAGCUGACCACUCACACAAACCAUUUGCCAGGUUAAAAGCUGACCACUCACACACCAUUGGCCAGGUUAAAAGCUGACCACUCACACACCAUUGGCCAGGUUAAAAGCUGACCACUCACUCAAACCAUUGGCCAGGUUAAAAGCUGAC